rnacentral:rRNA from 1 species
AUUAACACGCCGCUAAUUAGCCUCUGAGUAGUAACAGAAGCCUCUAAACUCAAAGAAUUUGGCGGCACCCCCACCUAUUAGAGGAGCCUGCCCCGUAAUCGAUGACCCACGAUUUUAUAGACCCUACUUUAAAGUUUGUAUACCGCCGCAUAGGCUAAGUUAUAAGACUUAACCAAACUUAAGUUUUUAAUUACACCAGGUCAAGGUGCAGCUUAUAGUUGGGAGCGGGUGGGCUACAUUAAAUUAAAUUACACGGCAUUAAGUCUAAAACUAGGUUUAAGGUGGAUUUAAUAGUAAAUUUUUAUUAGCCAAUUUGAUGGGGUACUG